GCCGCGUGAGUGAAGAAGGGUUUCGGCUCGUAAAACUCUGUUGUUAAAGAAGAACAUAUCUGAGAGUAACUGUUCAGGUAUUGACGGUAUUUAACCAGAAAGCCACGGCUAACUACGUGCCAGCAGCCGCGGUAAUACGUAGGUGGCAAGCGUUGUCCGGAUUUAUUGGGCGUAAAGCGAGCGCAGGCGGUUUUUUAAGUCUGAUGUGAAACCCUUCGGCUCAACCGAAGAAGUGCAUCGGAAACUGGGAAACUUGAGUGCAGAAGAGGACAGUGGAACUCCAUGUGUAGCGGUGAAAUGCGUAGAUAUAUGGAAGAACACCAGUGGCGAAGGCGGCUGUCUGGUCUGUAACUGACGCUGAGGCUCGAAAGUAUGGGUAGCAAACAGGAUUAGAUACCCUGGUAGUCCAUACCGUAAACGAUGAAUGCUAAGUGUUGGAGGGUUUCCGCCCUUCAGUGCUGCAGCUAACGCAUUAAGCAUUCCGCCUGGGGAGUACGGCCGCAAGGCUGAAACUCAAAGGAAUUGACGGGGGCCCGCACAAGCGGUGGAGCAUGUGGUUUAAUUCGAAGCUACGCGAAGAACCUUACCAGGUCUUGACAUACUAUGCAAAUCUAAGAGAUUAGACGUUCCCUUCGGGGACAUGGAUACAGGUGGUGCAUGGUUGUCGUCAGCUCGUGUCGUGAGAUGUUGGGUUAAAUCCCACAACGAGCGCAAC
rnacentral:rRNA from 2 species